UUAUCUAAAGCUUUGCUGAAGCUUCUCAUUGUUAAUGAGAGUAAAGGAAUAAUCCUUAGGUAAU
rnacentral:tRNA from 1 species